UGCAAGAUGAGUAGAUCUUUACACCAGCUCGCCAGAAUCGUGAGAGUAUAUAGAGGCCAUAUCUUGUUUCAGUCAUGUGUGCAAUGCAGAUGCUCUCAGUGACGCCUUGUUCUCUCAAGGCUGCGCCCAUGAAUAUGGCUCCUCUGUAUGAAAGGUGGACGAUUGUACAUUCCAAGGUUGGGAGAGACAAGAAGCCUGAAGACAAAGAGCUCUGGCCUCUGAACAAGGUCACAGAGUCAUGAGCGGCGGUUUGGAUGUGCGCAUUCUUGACCACGAAGACUGCUACUGCAAAAGGGACUAGACAGACACCAGAGGGAGCUCAAGUUACCGAACCCUUUUCUCAGGAGCAAAGGUGACAUCAGUUAGGGAAUAUGGAAUCUGCAUGUACAGCCUGCUAUAUUUAAAGUAGAUAACCAACACGGACUUACUGUAUAGUUAUGGAAUUGUCCUCAAGAUUAGGUAGCAUACUGGAUACAAGGGGAGUUUGGGGCAGAAUAGAUACUUGUAUAUGGAUGGCUCAGGCGCUUUUCUAUGAAACUAUGAAACCUGAAACUAUGACAACAUUGUUAAUUCCCUCG
ensembl:lncRNA